rnacentral:lncRNA from 1 species
CUUCAAACGUUGUUGUUGGAUUGCUGCUGCGCUGCAUGCGCGAGAAGUGCUUCACUUCCGCACACUAAUAUGAACAGUAUAUACGAAGACCACAGCUAAAGACCACAGCUAUCCGGAGAAAAAUGAUACAGUUAUCACUUUUCGUCCACAAGAGUCAGUUUUUGAACGAUGGAGUCAGAUCCCACUUGAAAUCAAAAAGGAGGCUGGACAGCGGAUGAAAAUCUGUGUCUUUUGGCUUCCUAUUCUAUUGCAGCGGGACGAGUCCAGCAAUGCUGUUUGCUGGGCUGCAGAAAUAGGUCUAAUCAGCUCAAAGUAAGCAUUGCUAGCAGCCAACAAUU